CACGAGAUCAGGAGCUGGAAGGAAACUCCGAGAUUAUUUAGUCCAACUCCCUCAUUUCAGACUUGUGGAAAGUGAGGCCUUGAGAGGGAACAGUGUCUCGUCCAAGGUCACUCAGGGAGUAAGGAGCGAGGCUGAAAGCAGAAGACGCCCUACGGAGGGGAAAAGAGUCCUGGCUCAGGAGUUAAAGGAUAUGAAUUCGAAUCCUGACUUCGGUUUCAUCAGAGAUGAGAAAACUGAGAUAUCAAUGGAUUUUACCAAGGUCACAGAGGCAGCAA
rnacentral:lncRNA from 1 species